AAGAGACAGCAGUCGCCGCGGGAAUACGGAGGGUGCAAGCGUUAAUCGGAAUUACUGGGCGUAAAGCGCACGCAGGCGGUCUGACAAGUCAGAUGUGAAAUCCCCGGGCUUAACCUGGGAACUGCAUUUGAAACUGUCAGGCUGGAGUCUUGUAGAGGGGGGUGGAAUUCCAGGUGUAGCGGUGAAAUGCGUAGAGAUCUGGAGGAAUACCGGUGGCGAAGGCGGCCCCCUGGACAAAGACUGACGCUCAGGUGCGAAAGCGUGGGGAGCAAACAGGAUUAGAUACCCGCGUAGUCCCUGUCUCUUAUAC
rnacentral:rRNA from 1 species